rnacentral:rRNA from 1 species
UGGCGAACGGGUGAGUAACACGUGAGUAACCUGCCCCUGACUCUGGGAUAAGCGUUGGAAACGACGUCUAAUACUGGAUAUGAUCACUGGCCGCAUGGUCUGGUGGUGGAAAGAUUUUUUGGUUGGGGAUGGACUCGCGGCCUAUCAGCUUGUUGGUGAGGUAAUGGCUCACCAAGGCGACGACGGGUAGCCGGCCUGAGAGGGUGACCGGCCACACUGGGACUGAGACACGGCCCAGACUCCUACGGGAGGCAGCAGUGGGGAAUAUUGCACAAUGGGCGAAAGCCUGAUGCAGCAACGCCGCGUGAGGGAUGACGGCCUUCGGGUUGUAAACCUCUUUUAGUAGGGAAGAAGCGAAAGUGACGGUACCUGCAGAAAAAGCACCGGCUAACUACGUGCCAGCAGCCGCGGUAAUACGUAGGGUGCAAGCGUUGUCCGGAAUUAUUGGGCGUAAAGAGCUCGUAGGCGGUUUGUCGCGUCUGCUGUGAAAUCCCGAGGCUCAACCUCGGGCUUGCAGUGGGUACGGGCAGACUAGAGUGCGGUAGGGGAGAUUGGAAUUCCUGGUGUAGCGGUGGAAUGCGCAGAUAUCAGGAGGAACACCGAUGGCGAAGGCAGAUCUCUGGGCCGUAACUGACGCUGAGGAGCGAAAGCAUGGGGAGCGAACAGGAUUAGAUACCCUGGUAGUCCAUGCCGUAAACGUUGGGCGCUAGAUGUAGGGACCUUUCCACGGUUUCUGUGUCGUAGCUAACGCAUUAAGCGCCCCGCCUGGGGAGUACGGCCGCAAGGCUAAAACUCAAAGGAAUUGAC